AUAAUGGCCAUUUCGCCCUUUGGUAAAAAAGUUCCAAAACUUUCUAUCAUCUCCAUAACUGAUCCUCAUUCAAUCUUUACUCUUCAGAUAUAUCUCUUUUCUCUGGAAGAUAUUCAACGCCGCUUCGUGUAGCAAUUUUUGGUCAGGUUUUCUCAGCUUCAGCUAUACCGUGGAAACUUUAUCAUGGUGAAUCGAACAGUUAUUACGAGUUUCAACUAUGCCAUUGAAAAAUUUAAUGGAGGAUCGGUCUAUGCGAUUUGAACUCAUUCAUGAACUUUGAGUUGUCGUUGAAAGCAUAGAAAUCCUGAGAGGCGACUAUUCAUACUAUCAGAUUGCCAAAGCCAAAGUACCAUACGAGAUGUUCUUAAUGACCUAAAAACAAAGGUUGAAUUAUCACAGCCAGAUGUUGAACUAAGAUUACUGGAAGUGUUUUACCGCAAGAUAUAUGAGAAUAACAUCUGGAAGUUCGCAAAAAAGGGUUUGACAGUGGGGAACUGCUUCUGAAUUAAUAGCCUAGGUUGCGGUUAACAUCUAUAAGUUUCCAGGUUGAGGAUAACAUCUGCAAGUCCACCAGUCUUGAAGUGAGAUAGAAAUUGAAUUAUUGGGAUCGAUGACUACUGCGCUGAGAGCUUCUCUUCUUCUACUCGCUAUGCGGAAUCUCACACACAUACAUAACUUAUAAAAAUUGUGAGCUUAUUUAUUUGUUUUAUGAUAUUUACUUUUACAUUAAGAAAAUUAUUAUGAUUCCACUACUUUUUGCUAUUACUUGUGCAAAAAAAGAAUGUAAAGAUGAAAUUUGAUUAUAUCCUAAUCAGUUGUGAAAUUUUUUAUUUCUUUUUUGUGGUCAUACACCAUUUUAGACAUAAUAACUUAGAUAACUACUUUAUUACCUUAGCUUCUGCGGUAUAAAAAUAAUUUUGAAAAACAAUCAACUUACUCAUCCAUUUGAAAGUAUUUGGAACUGUGUCUUCAAUAUGUAAUUGAUUUGAUAGACAAAUAAUUCAUUAAGAGUUUGACGCACGUAGCGAAUACCUAGAGGAUCCACUGUUAUCCUACUUAGAACUUAAAUAAGCCCCCAACAAAUUUCACUAAUUCCGACAACUUCGUGAUGGAGGUAAGAGGUUAUAAAACUGUAUAUCAUUAUAAGAACCUUUUUGGUAUAACUUCAUUAUCGUGGCUAAUUUUACAAGUAAUGAAUUUAGUCGUAGAUCGGCCCUCUGUUAGUUGAAGAAGCACCUUCUUAAGAUUUCUUAUAACUUUUAAAGUUGUGAUUUGUGAAUUUGAUAUAUAGUCAUUGGAUGCUUAAAAGGAAAAAACUUCAUAAUAUUCCAUUUGUCUUAUAUUUGUUAAGGUUGUUGCUCUAUGCUUAUAUAUUGUUUUGAUUUAAAAGGAUGACUUUCACUUUACUUUUGAAGAAACUUUAACUGAGCUACCAGAAAAAUGAUAAACACUACCUUGAAAUCUACUGUUAUAGUCAUUUUUAUUUGGUUGAUCAUUUUCGAAUCUUCGAUGAAUUUUUUGUUAAAAAAAAUAGUUAAUAGGACAAAAUGGUUGAUUGUAUCGCAGAUAUUGACCUAGUCUCUUCACAUAUUGAAAAGAAAUCUCCUGAGAAGCUUGAAGUUUCAUUACUUGAAAAACACUUACACUUUUUAUACCUACUUUUCCUUGUAAUAUCUCCUGACUAUUCAAUAAAAAUGACAUCACUCCAUUUUGAGAUUAGUCAACCUGCUAAUCGACUUUUCCAAUAUCUUUCUAAAAUGACUUUUCUUAUGCAUCUUAUUUUCUCAACUAAUAUACUUUAAGAUAAAAAGUUAAUAGAAAAUGAAGAGCACAGUAGAUUUCGCGCGACUCAUGCAAAUAAUUGAUUGUUUAUUACUAGAAUUGUGAAAGAACAUACAAUAAUGUUUCAGUUUCAAACAGAAUAAUGUGCCUAACUUCACCAUUAAGAUCCUAAAACUUGUUUUUGUGAAAUGAAGCCUUCCCUCUUUGAUGUUUUCUUAUUUUGUUUCUUAGAUUUAUGAAAUGCCUAUUGAAUAAGGAUGGUCUCCGAGCCUAUAAAUGCGACCAGAUUUUUAGUAUUAUCAUGAGAUACACACGUAAUAAUAUAUGCAAGAAAAAUAUUCAUUACAACAGUAAAUGUCAAUAGGACCAUGGCCGUUAUGCUCUCCAGUAAGAUAUAAGUUAGCUUGUUGUUCUCUUGAACUGGUGUUGUAGAUACCCUGUAGUUAUUGUUGAGCACUGUUGAACACAUUGUUGCUAUUGUAUCUUAAAUGUUAUUGGACACAUUUUUUUGUUGCUAUUUUGAAAUGCAGUUGAAGAACUUUUUUUUGUUAUUUUUGUGUGAUGAGUCGUUGUUGUUGCUGAAAUUUGAUGCAAUUAAAAUAAUUUUUUCUUCUCUUUUUUGGAUAUUGAUGAGAUCAUUUUGGAUACUUUAGGUUGAUUCACAUGUUUACUAUAUUUCUAUGGCACUACCAGUUAUCAAGUUACCACAUUACUAAUAACACAUCCUUUUUUUAGUUUAUUAACACAACAAUGUCCAUUACAACCCGAAUGUUGUGAUGUAAGAAAAUACAUGGCUUGAAUAGGAGAGAAGCUAGUUGCAAUUUAAAACUUAGAAUUUUUACACUUUAUUUAUUUUGAGAUAUGGGAUGCUAUUAUUUGAUCACAUUAUUAUAAUACUGACAUUUGAUCACCAAUUCAUAAUUUUACAGGCAUUUAUCAGUCAAAAAAAAGAUUUAUCACAACACAAAAAUUAUGUUAACUUUGGACAAUGUAGAAAUAGAAUAUAAAUGUAUUACUCUCUUUAUGUAAAUGGCUACUUUAUUAUUCAGUAGUAUGAUUCUCAUGGAUGUAUAAAGAACACAUCUGACAACCCUACUAUAUUUAGGUGCGUCAUAUUGUGUACUAAAAUUCCGCAUAUAUAAUAAUAUUCAACAGUUAGUAUA